AUGGGAUCUAUGUUUCUAUUACAAUCUUGGCAAACUUUCAGAUUACACAGAAUUCAGAAAGGCCAGAAUCAUCAAACUACAAGUCUUUCAAUUUAUGUACACAUGUUUGAGCAUUUGUCACGGAACCGCUCUGAUUUUAUCUUCAGUCCGGGGCGUAUACCCAGCUUCUGCUCCUAUAUUGGCAUUCUGAUUUUAGAUUCGGUAAAGAGCAUGUGUGGCUUGAUUAUAUCUGUAAAUCAGAAGUGUAGUGUUCAGAUAAACCUUGUUACAAGGAAAGUUGUUGAAAUAAACAAGUUUUUGUAA
rnacentral:rRNA from 1 species